rnacentral:rRNA from 1 species
GAUGAACGCUGGCGGCGUGCUUAACACAUGCAAGUCGAACGGAAAGGCUCCUGCUUGCAGGGGUACUCGAGUGGCGAACGGGUGAGUAACACGUGGGUGAUCUGCCCUGCACUUCGGGAUAAGCCUGGGAAACUGGGCCUAAUACCGGAUAGGACGAUGGUUUGGAUGCCAUUGUGGAAAGUUUUUUCGGUGUGGGAUGAGCUCGCGGCCUAUCAGCUUGUUGGUGGGGUAAUGGCCUACCAAGGCGUCGACGGGUAGCCGGCCUGAGAGGGUGUACGGCCACAUUGGGACUGAGAUACGGCCCAGACUCCUACGGGAGGCAGCAGUGGGGAAUAUUGCACAAUGGGCGCAAGCCUGAUGCAGCGACGCCGCGUGGGGGAUGACGGCCUUCGGGUUGUAAACUCCUUUCGCUAGGGACGAAGCGCAAGUGACGGUACCUGGAGAAGAAGCACCGGCUAACUACGUG